GACGAACGCUGGCGGCGUGCUUAACACAUGCAAGUCGAACGGAAAGGCCCUGCUUUUGUGGGGUGCUCGAGUGGCGAACGGGUGAGUAACACGUGAGUAACCUGCCCUUGACUUUGGGAUAACUUCAGGAAACUGGGGCUAAUACCGGAUAGGAGCUCCUGCUGCAUGGUGGGGGUUGGAAAGUUUCGGCGGUUGGGGAUGGACUCGCGGCUUAUCAGCUUGUUGGUGGGGUAGUGGCUUACCAAGGCUUUGACGGGUAGCCGGCCUGUGUGGGUGACCGGCCACAUUGGGACUGAGAUACGGCCCAGACUCCUACGGGGGGCAACAGUGGGGAAUAUUGCACAAUGGGCGGAAGCCUGAUGCAGCAACGCCGCGUGCGGGAUGACGGCCUUCGGGUUGUAAACCGCUUUCGCCUGUGACGAAGCGUGAGUGACGGUAAUGGGUAAAGAAGCACCGGCUAACUACGUG
rnacentral:rRNA from 1 species